rnacentral:lncRNA from 1 species
GAAAAUUAUUUUAUGUUGGUCCUCACACAAAUAGAUCUCUGUAAUAGUGUGUACCAUGUUCUUGAUGCUCCUUUCAUCCUAUAAUAAUGAAUACCCCUGGGCUUGGAAAAUAAAGUUAUUUAAUGCAUGUAUCUAUCUGACUGAUACCAAGGCAUGGUUCUUUAAAAGAAAUUUCUUCCAUUGAAAAGAGAAGGUGGGAAUAAGAAAACAGGAUUUUUUUUUUUUUUUUGCAAUUUUACUUUCUAGAUAAACUCAAAGAAAGACUUUAGAAUAUCUAACUAACUAGAGGACACAUUAUUCUGUAAACACCAUUUUGUUCAACUGAAUUUUGUUAAGUAUGAGAUGAAGUUAAAUGUGAAAUUAUUCCUGCAGUGUAUUUUGUGUGGCUGGCUAAGAACAGCUAUUCCUUGAAAAUGUGCAAAUUAAGGAUAAUACCAAUAGGAAAUUUUUACUGGUGGAAACUAUAUGGUGCCUGUUCUCCACUCCUAAUUUGAUCCUGGCCCGUCUCUCAGAAACCCAGUAUGAACAAGGGCCUUCAGGGAAAAGAGUUUCACAUUUUCAGGGAGCUUGGAUGAAGGGACUCUUCCCAAAAUGAGCACAGCAGCUUAUGGCUAUUGACAUGACUCUUUAUAUACUUAGGAAAUAGAUAGGGACUGGGGGAAUGGCUCAGUAGUGUCAAUCACUUACUUCUCUUGCAGAAGACAUGGGUAAGGUCCCAGCAUGCACAUGGCAGCCCAUAACUGUCUGUAAGUGCAGUUCGUGGGACCCAAUGCUUCUUCUGACGUCUGCACUCACUGCAUGCAUGUGAUGAACUUAGAUACAUGCUGCUAACACAUUCACACCCAGAAAAUAAAAAUAAAUAAAACUUUUAACAGAGAAAUAACGAACAUAACAUUUUAUUCUUUUCAAACAUUUUCAGUGUUUAUAUCCUCCUUCCACAGUAUUCUAUUGUGCAUGGACACUGUUUUCACACUACAAUGACCACUUUCCCUACACACCAUUGAUCCUUUCUCCUUUCCUUCCUUUUCCCAUUAAUUCUCUGUCCUCCAAGACAGUUUUUCUUCAACUUCAUGUUAUAUCUACAAACAUGAUUUUAUGUAUCUAUAUAAGACAUGGGAACUACACACUUGAGAAAGUAUACAAUAUGUGUCUGCUGAAACAGGCUUAAUUCACUUAGGAUGAUUACAUCCAGUUGUAUUUCAUUUCAUGUUAAAAAACAUAACUUCAUUCUUCUUUAUGGUAGAAAAUUUCCAUUGGUAUACAUCAUAUUUUCGGUACCCAUUCUUCAGUUGUUAGAUACAUAGGCUAGUUCCAGCCUCUAGCUAUCUUGAACAAGGCUGCAGUAAUCAGUGAAGUGCAAAUAUCUUUGUGGUGUGUUGACUUGUGGUGUGUGAGUAAAGACUUGGGAGUUGUAUAGCUGGAUGUUAAGGUGACUCUAUUGUUCAUUUUGGAGGGAACCCCAUUUUGAUUUCCAUAGAGGCAGACUAGUUAAUGUCAUAACCCAUCAUAUUUAAGGGUCUGUUUUUCUCUACAUUCUUGUCUGCAUUUAUUUUCUUAGUGACUGCUAUUCUGACUAGGAUGAGAUUAAAUUUCAGUGUCAUUUUAAUUUGCAUUUUCUGAAGGCUAGCGAGGUUGAACAUUUCUUUCUUGCCUUUAUAUUGACUGAGUAUCUUUAAUUUUCAUCAUUUAAUGUUGGCAUAUUAUUGUAUACACUAGACAGGGAUGUGUUCAGCUAGUAAAGACUUUCAUUGUUUUUGGUCUCUAGUCACUAUUUUCUUUGUUAUGCAUACGCUUGUUUAAUUUCAUGAAAUUCAUUCAUCAGUUGCUCAAGAUGUCAUUUUUCUUUAAAAGUUAGUCUACUUAGAAUUCAUGAAGAUAUAUACUCUGCUGCAAUGGACACCUAUACUAAAAUAAUUACUCCAUCAUGGCCAUGAUAGAGAUGCCAUGCAUAUAGUAAAAGUUGAAUACCAUACAAAAGUCCAAUAUCUGGGAGUGUAACAACUACAAUACAUAUGCUAUGCAUUUGCAUGUUUAUUUUUCUACUAAAGAUGAAUGUCUACACAGACUAGGAGAAUGUAAGUAAGUGGUGUGUUUUCAAUUUCAUAAAAUACUCUCCACUGAAUAAAUACUCAUGGACUUGGAAUAUCCAAAACUUUAUCUGAUCAUUAAAGUUCAAGUUUCAGAAAAGAGUCAUACCAGCCACUAUGAUUUUUAUGCUACACCUUAUCAACCAAGUCCAGGUUUGUUAGUAUCCUUUUAUCCAACACUCUAGUUCUGUCUUUAGUUAUAGGCAAAGAUCCUACAUACAUACUUGGGAGCAAACAGUAACUUCAGGCUUUUAGCCCACAAUCCAUGAGAUGUUAAAAGCAGCAAAAAGACCUUGGGUUGGUUAAUAGUUAAGUCAGAAAACUGGAUAUAUAUAACUAAGAAAAAUUUCCCAAUAAUUCUUCCUCACAGGUCUUCAAUCUCUAGGCCUGCUGCAGCAAAGUACCACAAACUGGGUUGGCUUAGGCUCUAGACGGUUUUUUUUAUCACAUGGUUAGAGCAAAUAGAAGUCAAAAAUCAUUGUAUGCACAGGCUGCUCCCUUUUGUGGGCUAUGAGAGAGAAUCUGUUCAUGUAUACUACCUCUGUAACAGUCUGGCAACCCUUUGCUCUCCUCAGCCUAUAGAUACAUAAUCCAUACAGACUUCAGUCUUUACCUUCAUAUCUAGGAGUCCUGUGUGUGCCUGAAUCCUACCUUUUUAAGGCACAGCUGACACAUAGGGCUAAGGUUUAUCCCAGUGACAUUUUCUUUAAAUUUACUACAUUUAAAAAGAUACUAUUUCCAAAUAAAGUUAUGUUCAUUAGUAUUGAGGGUACAGACUUUAACAUAUCAUUUUUACAAGUGAGUCGAUAAUACCAUGUGUGCC